ensembl:lncRNA
CCCACAAUGACACGGUUCCUCUAACAAGGCCACACCUACUUCAACAAGGCCACACCUUCUGAUAUUCACACACACACACACACACACCCGGGCCAAGCAUAUUCAGACCAUCAUGUAUGCUUUUGCCAAUAAUACAAGAUCUUCAGGGGAGUAGAUUUUCCACUUCCUUAAUAUUAGCACAUAGCAUUUAGGUGUUAGCAUCUGCAAGGGUGGUGACAAGAUAGGAGUGAACGGGCUAGUAGACAUGACCUGUGUGCUGCAGUCACUUUGUUCUGUCUGGACCGCAGGUCCACCUCCAACCCUUCUCGGAAUCCCUGCCCAGAGGAUGCCUAAUUCCUUACUUAUUUUAUCCCAGGAAGCACUUGCAGCGGCCUCAAGGACAAAAGCAACACUUUCAAGAAUACAAUUACUGGAAAGAGCUGAAGCUUUUGUUACUCGUGGGUCUUUUUUUUUUUUUUCUCUUUUGUUCUAAGAAGAUAACUAACCCACAUGUAGGCUCUUUAGUCAAUUCUCAUGCUCCUUAUUUAUUUCACUAGUUUUUCCUGUUUUGCGUAUUUAUGCUGUUGUUGUUUGUUGUUUUUGAGUAAGGGUCUCAAGAGGUCCACACUAAGCCUGGACUUCUGAUCUUCCUGUUUCCAUCUCCCAGAUCCUGGAAUUACUGGCAACUACCACCACACAUGUCGAUUCUCAUGCUCUAAGGUCACUUGAAAAUUUCUUCCCCGAGUGGAUUUGCCAUCCACCUAGGGCAAAAUUAAAUUAGUUUAGUUCUCUUGUUUCAUUUUGAAUUUUUACAAUCAUGCCCUAAAAUAUUAGCAACAUAAUCUUGUAAUCUUCCGCAGUGGCAUAGAAAGAAGCCAUUCUUCAUUUCUCUUUAGAGCUGUAUAAUAUUCCUUCCUCUACUGGACUACGUGAGUCCUUUCCAUAGUCUUGUGGAAACGUCUUCUGAGCUCUGCCAGUGCACCCGUGCAGUAGUUUAGAUGAUGGAACACACACACACACACACACACACACACACACACACACACACACAAACAAAAAGACAAAAAAACCAGUCAAUGAAUUAUCUAUAAACACAAGUAGUAGUCAUGUUUAAGGAGGGUCAAUGACACUCUUUUUCCAAGCUCGAGGAUCAGAAGGAGACUUUAUUCCUGGCAAAAGUCAGCAGUUGUCUCUUCCCCAAAACUCCGAGCCAUCAUAGCAAAGAACUUCUUGAAAGUAUACCAAACGUGUCCCAGUGGAAAUAAAUUCUUGGUAGUGGCACUCUGGACAGGCCUGGAACAUUGCCACACUUCGAGUGUCAACGUUUAAGCUGAUCUUCAAACUCCCCCAGAAAGCAUUGUAUUGGAGAUUGCCAUAGAGUGAGUACCUACGGCUGUAUUCCUCUGACCUGCAAACCCAGCAGUGAGAGUGCAGUACUAGAUGACAAACUGGAUGCUCAGGGCAGGUCGUUGGCCACCAAGUGCCCCAAAGGAGAUAGUUAGCUUCUCUCUUGGAAGAGGAGCCUGUUUGCUACAAGGGCAAAUGUGGGCGAAAAAUACAGCACUUUAUAAGAAUGUUGUUCUGAUGGAGAUGAAGUGAUAUGUGGUCCAUUUUUUUAAAAGUUUUUUUAAUGCCUGUAUAUGGGUAUCUGUCUGUAUGUUUAGAUGAGUACAGGUGUCCAGCGUCAAGAAUAGGGUGCCAGGGCUCUUGGAGCUGUCACUAACCAUGACAGUGGAUCGGGGAAGAGCUCAGACAGAGCAGUGAAGUGUUCUUAACCACUGAGCCAUCUCACCGGCACGCUGCGUUUCCCAUUCAUAAAUUCAAUUUUUUAAAUUCCUGUGCACCUCAUCAUAAGGUUCCACUGCAGCUUCUUUUAUUUCCACAAGCGAGGCACUGACCUGACCAGCAGCUGUGCAGCCAAGGGUCCCUCCACAAAUAAUCCAGUUAAUUCCCACGAAGCUCCAUUUGAAAAAGAGAUGUCCGCCCAGGGGGAGAAUCCAGCUGUGUAUAGUGACUCCCCCGUGACAUCUAACGGUAAUCCUUGCCAAGCGAUUGUUACAAAAAAAGAAACCCCCGAAGUUACACUAUCAAGCAGAAAACAAAACAAAGGGUGUCAUGGAAAAUGUCACUACAGGUCAUCGCUGGUCUGGGCCUCCAUCGUCGAACGUGCAUGCGGAAAGCCAGCAUGGAAAUCUUUGCUCUGCAUCUCAGGCAGAGCCGGAAGCAGCCCCCAGCAGGCCCUGCUCUUCAGACUGGCCAGUGUUGAACUUGGCGGGCUGCCUACUGCUUUAGCUCCUGGGCCUCAAGCUCAUUGUUCCAGGGCCACAGGCAGCAUUUAAGACAUAAUGGGCCUAUGUGACAACUUCGGGUUCCCAGCACAGAAAAUGCCGUAGUCCUUAUCUAGUAACAGCAAGUUGAAUGCUCGCUAAAAGUCUUUAGAAGAGGUGGGUUUUUUUCCCCCCUUACUUACAGUUUUGGCUGAUGAGUUCCACUGCACUGGGGUUCUGGAAACAGAAACAGGAUGAGUUAAGUCAAAAGAAAAAUCCAAGCAUCGUCUUUUGUGGAACCCUGGGAGAAAUUUAGAGCAAGGAAGUCCUUGCGUCUUAAAAGACUGGAUGCCUCUUUGGUUUCCUGAUUCAAGCUGUUUUUGUCUUUUCUAAUUGCCAACCUUGGCAGCUAUCAGUACUCAAUACCAACGGAUAGGUCCGUGUGGAGAUUUUUUUUCUACACUCUAAAGCCUUCUCAAACACAAGAAAGUUCAGUCCCACUCUCCAGAUUCGACAGGCACUGUAUGUGAUUGGAUGCUGAUGGACCCCUCCUUUAGGCCAAAACAGUGCCAGACAUGGUGGCACAGGGGUUGAGGCCAGCCUGGGUGGUGUACAGCGGCAGGCCUCUGCCUGCCCCGGUGCACACUAAGGGAUCCUGUUGGUACCACGGGGGCUUCCUGCGCUGCAGACCUUAGCAGGCUCUUCCGAGCAAAAUCCAGAGACCUAGAGAGCCAGGCUUCAGAAGGGUGCCUUGGUGUUUGUUGAAGCGAAGGAGGGGUCCUAGCUACCCACCUCCACCAACCCCGACCCUCGGAUGCAGUCCUCUGGCCCUCAACGCUGGUUCCCAUUCCUUUCCUCUGCUUUUGUUUAUUCCAGGCACCAGGACCCCACUGUGGAGUCUGAAAGCAAGGUCUUGUCACUCAAAUGUCUCCUCCUAGUGUCAUCUUCUUGACCUUCUUGAAAUGAGGUCAGGGGAUGCUGUUCCUCUAGGACAUGGCGCUUUAGAAACAUAUUUAGCAGGGCUGGAGGACAGACGGAAUGGGACGCAGCUUAAGUGUCACCUUUGCCGAUGACCUUUCCGGCAGGCUCCCUCCUCGGCCUGUUUUAAGUUUUGACACUAAAGCCACUCUAAAGGCCAUAGGCUUCAAAGGCACGAGCUACUCUGCACUUGUCCCGAAAACGAAUGAAA